CUAUGCGCCUUGCCAGCCCGCUCAGGUGUGCCAGCAGCCGCGGUAAUACGUAGGGGCAAGCGUUAUCCGGAUUUACUGGGUGUAAAGGGAGCGUAGACGGCAGUGCAAGUCUGGAGUGAAAGGCGGGGGCUCAACCCCCGGACUGCUCUGGAAACUGUACAGCUGGAGUGCAGGAGAGGUAAGUGGAAUUCCUAGUGUAGCGGUGAAAUGCGUAGAUAUUAGGAGGAACACCAGUGGCGAAGGCGGCUUACUGGACUGUAACUGACGUUGAGGCUCGAAAGCGUGGGGAGCAAACAGG
rnacentral:rRNA from 1 species